CAUUCUAGUUGAGAUAAAAAAGAAUAAUUCAGAAUGGAACACUUACUUCCAUGAGCAGAACAAUAUUGAUUUUUUUUCACUUCAUCGAGUCGAGACCAGUUGUUCCAUAGGUUUCUUUCAGCAUCCUUUCACAGGGAUGGACACCAGAUUCAUGAAAUUCAUGAGUGGUGAUCUGGGAUCGGUUUUCCCUGGCCCAUAGCCUGGCCUUAUCUGUUGAUUACAUUACAUUACAUUACAUUACAGGCAUUUGGCAGACGCUCUUAUCCAGAGCGACGUACAACAAAGUGUAUAACCAUAACCAGGAACAAGUAUGACGAAACCCCUAGAGAGAAGUACCGGUCCAAGUGCAGGGAACAACCGCAUAGUUCAACUUGGACCCUGAAGGUUACGAAACCUACGAAACAGGGCUACGAUUAGGGCUAAAAGGUAAAUGGGUUAUAACUGAUCCCAGAUCACCACUUGCCUACUGUUCUGAAUUUGGGCCCGGGAGAUCCAGCAGCGCUACCAAGACACUGGGAUCCAUCAGCAGCUCAAGAGGGGUCGAGGAGGUGUGCUAAAAUAGGCAAAGAGAGGGCAGCCCUGAACUCAUUGAGGAGCAAUAACAAGUCGGUUGCCACAAAACAGCACAAGAAGCAUUACAAAAUGGAGAAAUUGACUCGUGAAGAUGUUCCAGCAAGGCGAACAGGAGUUUGGGAUCCACCAGCAGCCCACUCAAAGGGGUAGAUGAGACAGCAGCUGUUCUCGGUUAUCUAUCAGCCAGUCUUUACUAAUGACACCGGGCCAGCCAGCGGAGGAUGGGCUCCCCCUCUACAACCGGGUUCCUCCCAAGAUUUCUUCCCAUUGGGGAGUUUUUUCUUGC